UCGCGGAGAGGGAGGGGCGGGCCCGGAAGGGGCGUGGCCUGCAUUCACGGUCUGCGCCCGCGCCGGGAGAGGCAGGUGGUUGCGCGGCGGAACCCGGUGGCCUGCCGCUGGUGGCUCGCGCAGCUCGUGGGGAGCGGGCGCGCGCGGGCGCCGAGGGAUCGUGUGGGACGGGAGGGCGAGGAGGCGGCGGGGCGCCCCCGACGCGCGGUGUAAAGUGCGGAGGGGCGAUGGCCGCGCGCACCGUGGGGACGGGGUGGCAGUUGGAAGGCGGGUGCUGAAGCCUUGUCUUGGGCGGCAACACUGAGUUUGAGGCGAGUUAAAAUAAAGGGUAACCAUGAUAACCGUUCGCGGCUUUAUACCCGCAUGCGCGUCCGGCGCCGCAGCCUGGAGUGUGCGGGGAGGUCUAUGUGCCGGCGGCGCUCCCGCGGGCACCUCCGGAGAGCCGGCGGCCCACCUGGGCGGCCGGCGAAGGCCCCUGCCGGCUUCCGCCUUCGCGGGCCCUGUGGGCUACCGUGGGCCGCUGACCAGACAUUCGGUUUAGUCCUACUGUCCAAAUGCACCAGGUGCAAUUUUGUUUCCUGCCUUUAACUUCGGAACACACCUUUGGACUGUCGGGUUUUGCGGAUUUUUUGACCAUGGUCAUUAAUUCACUAUUUUUCUGCCACACACACACACACACACACACUGUGGAGGACUCUAGUUCCAUGUUUCAGAGCUUUGACCGGCCUCAGCAAUCCUGUGUAAUAAAGGCAGAUGUGAAUUUAGGGGGAGACCAGUAAAUACACCCUUUAUCUGAACCGGGGCUCAGAACCAAUAGCAACAGGACCGGCAGGCAGAGGAAACUGAAUGCCAGCGUAGUGAUCACUGCUAAUGGCACCGUGGGAGCACACGACUUAGGCACAAAACGCACCCACCCUCCAACGUGGUGCCCAGUUCAGUGCCAGGUCUCCUAAAAGCCUCACUUAAAGCAAACAGUUACCAGGACACAUGUAAUUGGCACAGCAUGGGCCUUCAUCCACAAAAUUCAGAAAGCAGGCCAAUCCCCAGUUCCUAAUAGAUAAGAGGCAAAAUUUUGUCCUUAGAAAACUCUCAAAAGACCCUGAAACGUGGUGUUACCUGAGCCAAGGUGAACAGGCUGACAAAGUUGAUUCGGUGUUUCUGGGACUCAAGUGGGUCUGUAGAUAGUACUUCACAUGGUUCCGCAUUCUCGCAGUGUUAUUUUACAGUCGUCACAGCCCCCCAACCAGGGCUUCUUAGAGAUGUAUUUCUUUUCCAUCCAACAUGUUCCUAUUUCUUAGUCCCAUUUCACCUUUGGGUCCUGUGUUUCUGGCACCCCAGGGCUGCAUUGAGGGUGAGCUCUUAGAGCACAGCUUUCCCUGUGCGCAGUGUUCAGUGGCCCCUGCCUAAUGCUGGGGGUCGCAGGCCUCCUUGAGGAGACAGGGUUCAUUUCUUAAGAGACAAAUUGAUAAGUGAAACAAAACAUCUCAAGGCAAAGUUACAAAAGCAGCAGCCAGUUGUCUUCUGUUCCUUUUUGGGUUUUAAUUCUCCUGAGUGCAGCCUUGGGAGGGGUUGCCUGUUAAGGCAGAGGUAGACUCCCCUGCCUGAGGCGGGGCCACCAUGGCACCCUGUGGGGCUGCAGGCUCCCCGUUGUCCUUCACACAGACCCGCAACUCCAACAGUCAGGUCCGCAGCAGAACCUGGCAUCCCUCUCUGCAGUGUCUCCUGAAACCCUGUUACAGUGAUACCAGCCCCUCCCUCUCACUCCAACUUGGGAUUUCAAUGGGAAAUAGCCUGGCCUGUCUGUGACCAUCAUAUGUAACUUCCACGGACGUGUAGGUUGUCUUCGGGGUCUUGCGAUGCCAAGAGUGCUGCAGGGGCCGACCUUGGACACCUAUAGUUUUGUGCACCAGAUGUGUCUUUUGAGUAGCAGGGUUGAGGCAGGGAUUACCAGCUGGAAAGGAAAGUGUAUACAUAGUUUUGUUGGGCAUUUGCCAGCUUUCUCAGAAGGGUCAUGCCAAUCUGCAUGCCCAGCAGCAGUGUAUAGGACCACCUGUUACUUGUGACUGUCCCAAAUUUAUUCUGUUCUUGAUUUCUGAUUUCAGUGUGUUGUGGUGGGAGAACAUAUUUUGUAAGAUUUCAGUCCUUUUAAAUUUAUUGAACAUUUUUAAUGGCCCAGGAUAUGGUCUGUCCCGGGGAACAUUUCAUUCACAUUCCUGAGAAACACGUGCAUCCUGCUGUCGGGUGGUGCCCCAGAAGCCGGGCGAGUCCUGUAAUGUCCAUAUGGGGGCGGUUAUGCCGAGUCUUCACUUCCUUUUGAUCUGCCGAGCUGUUCUCUCCAUUAUUGACAAUGGAAUGCUGAAUCUCUUCAAGUAUGUCAGUUUUGCUUCAUGUGUUUUGGGGCUCUAUUUUAAAUUUCAAAAAUGUUUAUAGCUAAAUGUCUUCCUGAUAGAUGGACUCUGAUCACUAUAAAACAUCUUUGUCUCUAGUAACCAGGCCUGUCUGCACUGUUCUGCCUGCUGUCAGCAUAGCCCGCCUGGCCUGCCUGUUUGGUUUCAGCACUCUCUACAUCCCUUUACUUUCAGCCGUGGCAUCUUAGAAUCCAAGACGUGUGUCUUGUCAACAGCAUCUAAUUUAUUCCAUUUUUAUCCUUUCUGCUGAUCUCUGCAUUUGAGUUCAUUGUUUGACCCAUUUAUGUAAUUAUGGGCAGGGCAGAUUUUCCUCUGCCUUUGCUGUCUGUUUUCUGUCGUAUAUCGUAUAUCCUUUCUGUUCCUCCACUGUUGCCUCUCAUGUGUGUUAAAUAUCUUUUAAUUAUUUUCUUAGUGGUUUCCCUGGGGAUUACAGUUAGGAUCUGAACCCAUAACAAUCUAGUUCACGUUCACACCAGCUUAAUCUUUGUACCACACGAAUGGCUGAUCCUGUGUAGCUCCACAUCCCUUCUCCCCUGGGGCUUGUCGUCACACAAACUUCCUGACGGGUUGUGUGCAGGCUGUGUGGGAGCCGAUGGGACCUGACCAACAGCAGUGUUUUCCCGUGAAACACCACCUCCUGCAUUUUCAGCCUCUUACCUGUGCAGACGUCGCCAGGACUGUCAUUCCCAGGGAGAGGCACAUUCACACUGAGUGGACAGUGCCAUCGGUCAUAAAAACUUUUCUCUUUAGAAUUGUAGGAGCUCUGUGCUGCGUGGGACCUUGACAAGAUAAGUCAAAUGAUUCUUAAUUCUGGUUAUGCUUCCGAACUCCUGAGUGGGGGAGGUUUUUUAUUAUUAAUGCUGGUUGCCUGGGGUUCAUUUCAGACUUAUGACAAAAAUCUCCUUCUAUUCAUUUUUUUAUGCUGUUACCUAAGAAGUGAGAAGAAGUCCGAGUGAAUGACAGACUCCUCUAUCAGUACGAGCCGUGCUAAGUAAGUGUCCCUACCUAUGUGUUGCCAUCAGCCUGCAGCUUACAGUUUUGGGAAAGUGGAAGACACAUCAGCACGGAUUUCUUCAUCCUUCCUCAGGUUAGUGUGUGCUCACGUUCCUGGGGCCAAGACUGUAUGCUUUGUGCAGGGUUCAACGCGGUUCCCGCCAGCAGAGCACCCCCCCCAGGAGCUCGUGGAACCGAGGCAGCGCUUGGAGGGUGUUUAGGAGCUGUGUUGUGGCCAGGCCUUACUCCACGUGCGGUGCUAAGCUUUCCUUGGAUAAAGUUCUGAGUCUCUUGUGUGGCAUGGCUGAGGUUUCUCAAGCCAGAUCCCCGUGCGCUGAAAGCCAUGUUGCCACACGACCAGACUCGACGGGGAGGGCUAACGCCCCAGGUCAUCAGCACUGCUGCCCCAGGGCACCUGCCCCUCGGUUAGGCUUCUGUGCGCCUUUGCUCACAAUCUGUCCGACAGAGGGCGCCCGUGGCACACAUCAUGCAGUUGCGGGAAAAGAACAGAACAGCAGGUAUGUAUUUUUAACAGACUUAUUAUCUAAGAAAUGUUUGCCCAGCAGGCUUUGCGCUGAACAUCGCGUCCUGAAGGAGCAAAUCAGGGAGUCUGAUCCAGCGCUAGACCGAUCGCUGGGUUGACUGACCGCUGAUUUCCUCUAGCCCCUGAGCUCUCCUUAACGGGCACACCACUGUGUUUCUUUGAUCGUCUGUGGAUGCAGCAAGUUUUGUAAUUCUUUGUAGCAGGUUUAGGAGUUUUUCUGCAAGAGACAUCAAAUUUGGGAAAAUUAAGAGAAAAACUGCCACUCAGUUAAAUAUUCCCACCCUCCUCCUGCAGGAAGAACGCUAAACAAUGAAUCUUGGCGGAUUCUGACAGCAGUGGCAAGGAGCCGAGGCACAGAGGGGAGCCCGGAUGUGUCGGGCCAGGCCCCAAGGGGCGGAGGGCGGAGGGCAGAGGCUGGGGAGCUGAUGCGGGCUCUCGUCUGUGCAAGAGGUCCCACCACGGUCACCACCUUCCCUGGGUGACAAGCAGUACCUCUCUGCUUUGGCACAUGGCUGUGCAUAGCAACCACAAUUCAUUCGUUUGUGCAUUCACUCACUCCCGUCUCCUCACAGCAAGCCAACCAUUUUAAUGAGUUCUUUGUGCAUGUGUUUAUGUGUUUUUGUACAGGACAGACACUGUCUUUCAUUUAGUUCACUUCGUGGUGCCGUGCCACGGGUAUUUUCCACGCCUUGCUCUUCCUCCGAGGGCGGUGCUUUGAAGUCCCAUAUUGCUGAGUGCACUCCUGGCUUGGUCAGAAGGCUGCGUGGAACUCUGUGGUGAUGCCCUCAGGGUUUCCCCAUUGGAUUUGUGACUAGCCUCACCGAGGCUGUGCCUGGGCCAGCCACCUGCGCCCAGAACGACACCGCAGUGAACACGUCACUUCACAAAGCUGGGCUUGGAAGUGCUGGACCCUAACAUAUGUGUGUAUUUAAUUCCUUUGCGUAAAAAGUGGUAGGUUGCCCCUCACAGUGGCUGUAACUCUCCAGUGUCACCGCAGACCAUGCGAGGACAGUCGUCACCUCAUGGCCAGCCAUCUGACUCUUGCUAGUAUAACAGGUGCAAGUUGCCAUCUCUUUGUUUCAGUUUGAAUGUGGCUAUUCGUGAGCUUUUGAACAUCACUCUUAUGCUGACCAGUUCUUGGUCUUUCUUCUAUAAAACCAUAGCCUCUACCAGUUUCCGGCGGCUUGAUGUGUAUUGUGGCUUAUUUGCAUGUGCAUCCAUGUUGCCUGUAGGGUCCUCAGCUGACUACUAACUUACCCACAGCACCCCUCAGUUAUCAGGCAGGGCUCUUCAAUCCAGUCGGAAUAUCGUCUGGGAACAAAGAAUAAUUUAGGGAAAACUGGCACAGGUAAAAUCUAGAACAUGGACUCUGUCCAUUUAUUCAUAUGAUCUUAAAUAGUCCUUGAUUAUAAAGUCUUAUAAAGUUUUCUUUUUGGGAGUCUUGAGUAUUCAUAGUUAAUUUUGAGAGACUUCAUCGUUUUUGUUUCUAUUUCUAAUAUUUUUUUGAUAUUAUCUUCCAGUUGAGUGUGACUGCUGUAAAGAAAAGUUACUGAUUGUGUGGGUUGAUGGUGCAUUCAGCAGAAUUUCCAAACCCUCUUAGGAGUUUGUGAUUCAGCCACCUCUGGGAUGAUGAUUACAGGAUCUUCAUUUUUGCCUUGGGCAGACUGAAGUGCCGUUGAGUAAAAGACAGAAAUGGGAAGGCUGGGGUGGAAUAACGGAUUCACUAUUUGCUCAGUCCAGGUGCUUUGCAUGGCAGGUCAGCGGUCUUCCAGCUGGUGGCUCAGGAGCAGGCUUUGUGGGGAUUGGUUUUGUGUGCCCACUUGAUUGGGCCAUGGUGCCUGCAAACUGGUCAUUGUGAAUAUCUAUCUGUGUGAAGGUAUUUUUGGAUGAGAUUAACACUGAAGCCAGUGGUCUCUGAGUGAAGCAGAUGGCCCUCCCCAGUGUGGGCGGCUGCAGGAAGCCAACCGACUCUGCCUGCCUGAUGGCACAGCCCAGGAGGCCGUGGACGGAUACCGCACAGCGGGCCUCCAAGGGGAAGGCUACUGAUAUAUCUUCUGUUGCUUAAUUUGACUAUUCCCCUAGAUUCGAACAGCCCUCGUGAAUCAGAAAAAGCCCCUAGAGAAAGGACUGUUAGGAGCUGUAAAGCAAUCAUAAAAGUCAGCCUGUGCCCCUGCACAUUCCUGUCAGGCCAGUGGGUUAUUGUCCCUGGGUUGGGAAAUAGAAGAAAGUUCGGGUGACUUCAGGGUACAACUCCCCAGCCAGCUUGGCCCCCAGGAGAAACAGAGGUGACCAACAUGGUUUGUGGGUCAGUAGAACAGGUGGGAUAAUCUUGGUAGAGUUCCCUUAAGAAUCAUUACUAUAGAAAUCACGGUAAGCAUUGUUACCGUCAGCAGAGUGAGCGCUGCUCUUUCUACUGUGAGUGGUUUCGGGGAACUAGGAAACAACACGCCCCACAGCCAGCCUAGGUGGGAGUCCGGCUGAGCAAGUUCUAAGACCCAUUCAGAAAACAGUGUGGUGCCUUGUAGAAAUUUAACCUGAGAUUAGAAUCUAAAGGUAUGAGAGCAACAGAAAAAUCUUGAAGAAGAAAACAUGACCUUUCAUGGUUGGGAAAGCAGGGGAACAUUCCGAGAAGUAGAUUGUGCCAUAAAUCACUGAAUGACACGUGCCUUAUGAUUUUAUGAUGAUUUCAUGUAACCAAUCCCUUCUAUCUUGCUUGAGGUUUCUGAAUAAACAGGCCAGGCCAGCUUAGCAUCUCUGCCAGUGUCUGUGUUCUCACCCAGUCGCCGACGCCGUUCCUCCUCCGGGGACCCCUGGACUGACUGGAGCUGGACUCUGGCAGGCGGCCUCAUCCGGUCAGCCGAAGGCCCGCAGAGAACAAAGGCCAACCUGCUUGAGCAAGAAGCAGUGCUGCCUGCACACAGCCCUCGGACACCAUUCUGUGGACAUCCUUACGUUUAAAAGUGUCUCUUUGGAGGGAGAAGCUGAGAAGAGGAAGGGAAGACAGUUUUGCCCGCUCUCCUGUCUGCUUUUCCUCUCUCAAGUUAUUGGUCUCAGUCUCUAAUCUCAGUUACCAAGGGUGUGGCUGUUCUCCUUGAAGGAGAAAGCUGGUGUGAGAGACCCCACCCUCCUCUGUCAGAUGGCUUCCUUGACGACAGCCUCUGUGCCCCACUGUCCCCCUAUGGCCCUACGAUCGGGCAUCUUGCAUGGGUGUCACCCAAAGCUCCCUGGUGGCCCAGGCUGAGCCACGCAGCUACAGCACGGAAGCUCAGAGAUGUGAAAGAAGCUAAAGCAAGUUGUUUGGGGGCAUAACAUCCACUCAGGGAUCAGUGAACUGCCAGCUGGGGAGCUGCUUCACCCAGUGCCCCCUCUUCUCUCUCCAGCUCUUCUGAGGGGGCUUGAGGGUGACCCUCAUCUGCGUCACCGGAUCUGAAUGGCUGUGGCUACUUGCAACUGAGUUCAUCCCGCUUGGCCCUUGACUGGGCCUCACACAGCCUCACCUCAGGGGUUUCUGCUCCACAGUGUGUGGAUGGAUCGCUCUGGGGGCACAGGGAGGGAAGGAAGGAAUGGGGGAGCAAACCGGGGAGGUGCCUCCGGAGGGAUGACGGGUAGGAAGCCUGAGGUCAGUCCUGCCUUGGCCGCCACAGCCUUCUGACUCGAGAUCAAUAAAGUUGAGACUUACAGAA